GGUGCUUUUGCUUAAUUGGGAAGACCGGUGAAAAGCCGGCGCGGUCCCGCCACUGUAAUGGUGAGCGCUCUUAUCAAUGCCACUGGAGAAAUUCGGGAAGGCUAAGUAGCGCGAUGAGCCAGAGUCAGGAGACCUGCCUGUUCUG
rnacentral:ncRNA from 1 species